UACGAAGGGGGCUAGCGUUGCUCGGAAUCACUGGGCGUAAAGCGCACGUAGGCGGACUCUUAAGUCGGUGGUGAAAUCCUGGAGCUCAACUCCAGAACUGCCUUCGAUACUGGGAGUCUCGAGUCCGAGAGAGGUGAGUGGAACUGCGAGUGUAGAGGUGAAAUUCGUAGAUAUUCGCAAGAACACCAGUGGCGAAGGCGGCUCACUGGCUCGGUACUGACGCUGAGGUGGCGAAAGCGUGGGGAGCAACAGG
rnacentral:rRNA from 1 species